ACGGCUCAGUAACACGUGGUCAACAUACCCAGAGGACGUGGAUAACCUCGGGAAACUGAGGAUAAACCGCGAUAGACCAUAAUGUCUGGAAUGAUUUAUGGUUCAAAUCUACAUGGCCUCUGGAUUGGACUGCGGCCGAUCAGGCUGUUGGUGAGGUAAUGGCCCACCAAACCUGAAACCGGUACGGGCUCUGAGAGGAGAAGCCCGGAGAUGGGCACUGAGACAAGGGCCCAGGCCCUAUGGGGCGCAGCAGGCGCGAAAUCUUUGCAAUAGGCGAAAGCCUGACAAGGUUACUCUGAGUGAUCUCCGCUAAGGAAAUCUUUUGACACCUCUAAAAAUGGUGUAGAAUAAGGGGUGGGCAAGCCUGGUGUCAGCCGCCGCGGUAAUACCAGCACCCCGAGUGGUCGGGACGAUUAUUGGGCCUAAAGCAUCCGUAGCCGGUUCCUUAAGUCCUCCGUUAAAUCCACCUGCUUAACAGAUGGGCUGCGGAGGAUACUAUAGAGCUAGGAGGCGGGAGAGGCAAGCGGUACUCAGUGGGUAGGGGUAAAACCCGUUGAUCCAUUGAAGACCACCAGUGGCGAAGGCGGCUUGCCAGAACGCGCUCGACGGUGAGGGAUGAAAGCUGGGGGAGCAAACCGGAUUAGAUACCCGGGUAGUCCCAGCUGUAAACGAUGCAGACUCGGUGAUGAACAGGCUUCGUGCCUGUUCAGUGCCGCAGGGAAGCCGUUAAGUCUGCCGCCUGGGGAGUACGGUCGCAAGACUGAAACUUAAAGGAAUUGGCGGGGGAG
rnacentral:rRNA from 1 species